GAACGCUAGCGGCAGGCCUAACACAUGCAAGUCGAGGGGUAACAGGGAGUGCUCGCACUCUGCUGACGACCGGCGCACGGGUGCGUAACGCGUAUGCAAUCUACCUCUUACUGAGGGAUAGCCCAUGGAAACGUGGAUUAAUACCUCAUAGUAUUAUAGACUGGCCUCAGUUUAUGAUUAAAGGUUACAGUCAGAGAUGAGCAUGCGUCCUAUUAGCUAGAUGGUAAGGUAACGGCUUACCAUGGCUACGAUAGGUAGGGGUCCUGAGAGGGAGAUCCCCCACACUGGUACUGAGACACGGACCAGACUCCUACGGGAGGCAGCAGUGAGGAAUAUUGGACAAUGGGCGAGAGCCUGAUCCAGCCAUGCCGCGUGCAUGAAGACGGCCCUAUGGGUUGUAAACUGCUUUUACAGAGGAAGAACCCUCCUUACAUGUAAGGAGCUGACGGUACUCUAUGAAUAAGGAUCGGCUAACUCCGUGCCAGCAGCCGCGGUAAUACGGAGGAUCCAAGCGUUAUCCGGAAUCAUUGGGUUUAAAGGGUCCGUAUGCGGGUCUAUAAGUCAGUGGUGAAAGUCUGCAGCUUAACUGUAGAACUGCCAUUGAUACUGUAGACCUUGAAUUAGUAUGAAGUGGUUAGAAUGUGUAGUGUAGCGGUGCAAUGCAUAGAUAUUACACAGAAUACCGAUUGCGAAGGCAGAUCACUAAUACUAUAUUGACGCUGAUGGACGAAAGCGUAAGUAGCGGGAGUACGUUCGCAAGAAUGAAACUCAAAGGAAUUGACGGGGGCCCGCACAAGCGGUGGAGCAUGUGGUUUAAUUCGAUGAUACGCGAGGAACCUUACCAGGGCUUAAAUGCAGUCUGACGUAUCUGGAAACAGAUAUUUCUUCGGACAGAUUGCAAGGUGCUGCAUGGUUGUCGUCAGCUCGUGCCGUGAGGUGUCAGGUUAAGUCCUAUAACGAGCGCAACCCCUGUGGUUAGUUGCCAGCGAGUAGUGUCGGGAACUCUAGCCAGACUGCCGGUGCAAACCGUGAGGAAGGUGGGGAUGACGUCAAAUCAUCACGGCCCUUACGUCCUGGGCCACACACGUGCUACAAUGGUAGGGACAGAGAGCAGCCACUUCGAGAGAAGGAGUGAAUCUAUAAACCCUAUCACAGUUCGGAUCGUAGUCUGCAACUCGACUACGUGAAGCUGGAAUCGCUAGUAAUCGCAUAUCAGCCAUGAUGCGGUGAAUACGUUCCCGGGCCUUGUACACACCGCCCGUCAAGCCAUGGAAGCCGGGGGUACCUGAAGUCCGUUACCGCAAGGAGCGGCCUAGGGUAAAACUGGUAACUGGGGGUAAGUCGUAACAAGGUAGCCGUACCGGAAGGUGCGGCUGGAUCACAUCCUUUUU
rnacentral:rRNA from 1 species